GUAGGGGAGCGUUCUGUAAGCCUGUGAAGGUGUGUCGUGAGGCAUGCUGGAGGUAUCAGAAGUGCGAAUGCUGACAUAAGUAACGAUAAAGCGGGUGAAAAGCCCGCUCGCCGGAAGACCAAGGGUUCCUGUCCAACGUUAAUCGGGGCAGGGUGAGUCGACCCCUAAGGCGAGGCCGAAAGGCGUAGUCGAUGGGAAACGGGUUAAUAUUCCCGUACUUGGUGUUACUGCGAAGGGGGGACGGAGAAGGCUAUGUUGGCCGGGCGACGGUUGUCCCGGUUUAAGCGUGUAGGUGUGUGUUCCAGGUAAAUCCGGUUCACUUUAACACUGAGGCGUGACGACGAGGCACUACGGUGCUGAAGCAACAAAUGCCCUGCUUCCAGGAAAAGCCUCUAAGCAUCAGGUAACAUCAAAUCGUACCCCAAACCGACACAGGUGGUCAGGUAGAGAAUACCAAGGCGCUUGAGAGAACUCGGGUGAAGGAACUAGGCAAAAUGGUGCCGUAACUUCGGGAGAAGGCACGCUGACACGUAGGUGAAGUGAUUUACUCAUGGAGCUGAAGUCAGUCGAAGAUACCAGCUGGCUGCAACUGUUUAUUAAAAACACAGCACUGUGCAAACACGAAAGUGGACGUAUACGGUGUGACGCCUGCCCGGUGCCGGAAGGUUAAUUGAUGGGGUCAGCGCAAGCGAAGCUCCUGAUCGAAGCCCCGGUAAACGGCGGCCGUAACUAUAACGGUCCUAAGGUAGCGAAAUUCCUUGUCGGGUAAGUUCCGACCUGCACGAAUGGCGUAAUGAUGGCCAGGCUGUCUCCACCCGAGACUCAGUGAAAUUGAACUCGCUGUGAAGAUGCAGUGUACCCGCGGCAAGACGGAAAGACCCCGUGAACCUUUACUAUAGCUUGACACUGAACAUUGAGCCUUGAUGUGUAG
rnacentral:rRNA from 1 species